CUGAAUUUAGUUUUGAAGGGCCGCAGUAUUUUGACUGUGCAAAGGUAGCAUAAUCAUUAGUCUUUUAAUUGAAGGCUGGCAUGAAUGGUUGGAUGAGGUACAAGCUGUGUCAUAAAAAUUAAUAUUUGAAUUUAACUUUUUAGUCAAAAGGCUAAAAUUUAAUUGAAAGACGAGAAGACCCUAUAGAGCUUUAUAUAAUGAUUAUUUAAUUUAUUAAGAUUUAUUAAAUUUAAUUAUUUUAUUGUAUUUUGUUGGGGUGACAAUAAAAUUUAAAAAACUUUUAUUAUUAUUUUACAUUUAUUUAUGAUUUUAUGAUCCAGUUUUAUUGAUUAUAAAUUUAAGUUACCUUAGGGAUAACAGCGUAAUUUUUUUUGAGAGUUCAUAUCGACAAAAAAGAUUGCGACCUCGAUGUUGGAUUAAGAGUAAUUUUGGGUGUAGAAGUC
rnacentral:rRNA from 1 species